AGAAAUUUAAAAUAGAACAUAUAUAUUGAGUCUUUAAUUUCACCACUAUGUAUUUGUGGCUAACAAAGGACAUAGAGCCCAUUGUUACGGACUGGCACUUAAAUAAACAUGUUACUAGAGCAAACUUCAUUUGUAGCCAUCCGAAAAAAAUUAAUAACAAUAGCUAGCCACAAAAUAGAUCAUACAAUUAAUAGCCCAAAACUAAUUAAAAGGCUAGUCCUCCGGUACUUUCAAACCUAGAUCUUCGGUACUACUUUUCCUCCUCGCAUUUCUUGCUAUCUCUCUUCUCUUCUACAUCUUCUCUUCUUCUUCCCCGUCCCGCUAUUCCUCCCGCAACCCUAACUCCGAGAUCGAUUACUCCUUUGUGACCAAAUCUACGCGAUCCUCGAAGGCCGGUGACGAUAAAGUUUCAGGAACAACAUCAGCUGAGGAUGCUAAGAACCUGGACGAAUCUGCUUGGAAAAAGGGGUCGUUAACUAAUACAUUUUUUUCAGAUUGAAGGAAAGAUUAAAAACAGAUUUAUUAACAAAGAAGAAGAAAAAUGUGAAGAGUAAAAGGCACUACCUAUAUUUACAACCCAUUUGGUUAAACUGAAGAAAUGCUUACUUCUCACCCCAAUGAUCUUUAAUUGCUGUUAACUAAUAAAUCACACAACAAACUUUACAGGUUAAAAUUAAAUUACCUUAGAGCUUUUUAUACUCUUCUGGCUCUAAUAUCAAAUUGAAAGAUUUAAAAGCU
rnacentral:lncRNA from 1 species